GAAAUACUUCCUCCGUCCGAAAAUACUUGUCAUUAAAAUAAACAAAAAAGAAUGUAUCUAGAACUAAAAUACAUUUAGAUACAUUCUUUUUUAUUUAUUUUGAUGACAAGUAUUUCCGGACGGAGGGAGUAUUUU
rnacentral:pre_miRNA from 1 species